AAGCACCUAGUUUAAUUUAGAAUGUCAUUUUGCAAAAAUGUUGGUAUUAAUGGGUUUGGUGUUUU
rnacentral:tRNA from 1 species